CCAUAUUGGGUGAUAGCCCCGUACACGAAAAUCUCUUAUCAAUGAAAUCGAGUAGGACGGAGCACGAGAAACUUUGUCUGAAUAUGGGGGGACCAUCCUCCAAGGCUAAAUACUCGUAAUCGACCGAUAGUGAACCAGUACCGUGAGGGAAAGGCGAAAAGAACCCCGGGAGGGGAGUGAAAUAGAUCCUGAAACCGCAUGCAUACAAGCAGUGGGAGCCGACUUGUUCGGUGACUGCGUACCUUUUGUAUAAUGGGUCAGCGACUUACAUUCAGUAGCAAGGUUAACCGCAUAGGGGAGCCGUAGAGAAAUCGAGUCUUAAUAGGGCGUUUAGUUGCUGGGUGUAGACCCGAAACCGGGUGAUCUAUCCAUGAGCAGGUUGAAGGUUGGGUAACACUAACUGGAGGACCGAACCCACUGUCGUUGAAAAGCCAGGGGAUGACUUGUGGAUAGGGGUGAAAGGCUAAUCAAACUCGGUGAUAGCUGGUUCUCCCCGAAAGCUAUUUAGGUAGCGCCUCGGACGAAUACCAUUGGGGGUAGAGCACUGUUUCGGCUAGGGGGUCAUCCCGACUUACCAAACCGAUGCAAACUCCGAAUACCUACAAGUGCCGAGCAUGGGAGACACACGGCGGGUGCUAACGUCCGUCGUGAAAAGGGAAACAACCCAGACCGUCAGCUAAGGUCCCAAAGUUAUGGUUAAGUGGGAAACGAUGUGGGAAGGCUUAGACAGCUAGGAGGUUGGCUUAGAAGCAGCCACCCUUUAAAGAAAGCGUAAUAGCUCAC
rnacentral:rRNA from 1 species